AAUACCGUAUGUGUCCUUCGGGAGAAAGAUGAGGGGAAAGGGAUGAGCCCGCGUUGGAUUAGCUAGUUGGUGGGGUAAAGGCCUACCAAGGCGACGAUCCAUUGCUGCGUGAAGGGAGAKUGAUCAGCCACAUUGGGACUGAGACACGGCCCAAACUCCUACGGGGAGGCAGCAGUGGGGAAUAUUGGACAAUGGGCGCAAGCCUGAUCCUUUCCUGCCGCGUGAGUGAUGAAGGCCCUAGGGUUGUAAAGCUCUUUCACCGGAKAAGAUAAUGACGGUAUCCGGAGAAGAARCCCCGGCUAACUUCCUGUCAUC
rnacentral:rRNA from 1 species